ACCCUUUUGUAGUUCAUAAGCGUGAUGAUUGGGUUUUCAUGCGCAUGCGUGAGAUGUGCCUCCCUCAAACCUUGUUACGACAUCGGCACAUUACCCGUCUGAUG
rnacentral:snoRNA from 1 species